rnacentral:rRNA from 1 species
CUUUUCUCAGGGAAGAAGAUCUGACGGUACCUGAGGAAUCAGCAUCGGCUAACUCCGUGCCAGCAGCCGCGGUAAGACGGAGGAUGCAAGCGUUAUCCGGAAUUAUUGGACGUAAAGCGUCCGCAGGCGGUCUCGUAAGUCUGUCUUUAAAGCGUGGAGCUUAACUCCAUAAAGGGGAUGGAAACUGCGAGACUAGAGGUAGGUAGGGGUAGAAGGAAUUCCCAGUGUAGCGGUGAAAUGCGUAGAUAUUGGGAAGAACACCAGCAGCGAAGGCGUUCUACUGGACCAAACCUGACGCUCAUGGACGAAAGCUAGGGGAGCGAAAGGGAUUAGAUACCCCUGUAGUCCUAGCCGUAAACGAUGGACACUAGGUGUUGCACGUAUCGACCCGAGCCGUGCCGUAGCUAACGCG